UUGUGAGGUAGAGGUGCGAUAUUUAUUAGUUUUUCAUGGAGUUUGAGCGAACAAUGAAAUGAAAAAGAAGGAAAUAUUGCCGAAGUGUGAAGUUUCUGCUCGGGACUUUAUGCUGGGUCUGCAGUGAAUAAUUGCAGGACUGUCUCAAGUUGUUUUCCCAAACGACUUGAGUUGUGCUAUCUCAAUC
rnacentral:ncRNA from 2 species